GGGCCUAUAGCUCAGUUGGUAGAGCAGCGGACUUUUAAUCCGUGGGUCGAGGGUUCGAGCCCCUCUGGGCCUA
rnacentral:tRNA from 1 species